ACACCCACCUAAAGCAGAACAAAUCCACGUCAGAUAUUAAGAAAACGACUCAAACAAAGGAACUCUCCAUUUAGAAGCAUAAAUGUGUGGCAUUAGAGAGACCAAGUUUAAAUACCCACCUUCCACCCUAUAUCCAUCUCACUGAACUUUUAUUCCUGAGGAAGAAAAUGAGGUAUUGUGGGAGAUCAGAGCGGUAGCAACUGAUCACUGUUUACCAUCUCCCCAGGAAACAAGAGCGUGGAAGAGGGAAAGACUGAGAGAAACAUUGGUGUAAGAAAAACACAUCGAUUGGCUGCCUCCUUCAUGCUCCCUGACCAGGACGGAGGUGCCUGGGCUGGGGAGGAGCCUGCAACCAUGAAGUCAACUUUUCAUGACAAAUAAACUCACCGCUGAAGAAGAGAAGGAGGAUGCUGAAUACCAAGUGGAGUUCACCUUGGAAGAAACCUGUGAGGGCAGAAAAUGCAUGGAUCAGCCAACCUGAGCAUUCUAGGUUACUUAGUUUUAUUUUUUUUUCUCUUGCACACAGCCUCCCUGCUGUG